GGGGGACUUAGUUUAACAUAGGACCCUAUGGGAAAUGCAUACAAAUGACUUCUUUUAGAGAACCACUGAAUGGAAUAAAACCAAACAUAGCAUGAAUGUUCCUUAUGGGGUGCUGACCAAGUGUUGUUACUUUGUAGCCGAUCCAUCAUCCAAGAUGGCCGCCAGCAGGGGACUUAGUUUAACAUAGGACCCUACGGGAAAUGCAUACAAAUGACUUCUUUUAGAGAACCACUGAAUUGAAUGAAACCAAACAUGGCAUGAAUGUUCCUUAUGAGGUGCUGACCAAGUGUUGUUACUUUGUUGCCGAUCCAUCAUCCAAG
rnacentral:lncRNA from 1 species